CGCGUGAAGAACCUGCCUUUCAGUGGGGGACAACAGUUGGAAACGACUGCUAAUACCGCAUAAUGUAUUCGGAUGGCAUCAUCUGGAUACCAAAGCUUUAUGUGCUGAAAGAUGGCUUCGCGUCUGAUUAGCUAGAUGGCGGGGUAACGGCCCACCAUGGCGACGAUCAGUAGCCGGUCUGAGAGGAUGAACGGCCACAUUGGGACUGAGAUACGGCCCAGACUCCUACGGGAGGCAGCAGUGGGGAAUAUUGGGCAAUGGGGGAAACCCUGACCCAGCAACGCCGCGUGAAGGAAGAAGGCCUUCGGGUUGUAAACUUCUUUUACCAGGGACGAACACAAUGACGGUACCUGGAGAAAAAGCAACGGCUAACUACGUG
rnacentral:rRNA from 1 species